rnacentral:rRNA from 1 species
UACGAAACGUACAAACGUUAUUCGGAAUCACUGGGCUUAAAGGGUGCGUAGGCGGACAUGUAAGUGAGGUGUGAAAUCCCUCGGCUCAACCGAGGAACUGCGCUUCAUACUGCAUGGCUUGAGGGAGACAGGGGUAAGCGGAACUGAUGGUGGAGCGGUGAAAUGCGUUGAUAUCAUCAGGAACACCGGUGGCGAAAGCGGCUUACUGGGUCUCUUCUGACGCUGAUGAGCGAAAGCCAGGGGAGCAAACGGG